rnacentral:rRNA from 1 species
UACGUAGGGUGCAAGCGUUAAUCGGAAUUAUUGGGCGUAAAGAGCUCGUAGGCGGCUUGUCACGUCGGAUGUGAAAGCUCGGGGCUUAACCCCGAGUCUGCAUUCGAUACGGGCUAGCUAGAGUGUGGUAGGGGAGAUCGGAAUUCCUGGUGUAGCGGUGAAAUGCGCAGAUAUCAGGAGGAACACCGGUGGCGAAGGCGGAUCUCUGGGCCAUUACUGACGCUGAGGAGCGAAAGCGUGGGGAGCGAACAGG